rnacentral:misc_RNA from 1 species
AACCUAGCACACCUGCGGUGUGUACCUGCGGAAGGAUCAUUACCGAGUUAUACAACUCAUCAACCCUGUGAACAUACCUAAAACGUUGCCUCGGCGGGAACAGACGGCCCCGUAACACGGGCCGCCCCCGCCAGAGGACCCCCUAACUCUGUUCCUAUAAUGUUUUUUCUGAGUAAACAAGCAAAUAAAUCAAAACUUUCAGCAAUGGAUCU